rnacentral:rRNA from 1 species
GACGAACGCGGCGGCGUGCCUAAUACAUGCAAGUAGAACGCUGAAGGAGGAGCUUGCUUCUCUGGAUGAGUUGCGAACGGGUGAGUAACGCGUAGGUAACCUGCCUGGUAGCGGGGGAUAACUAUUGGAAACGAUAGCUAAUACCGCAUAAGAGUAGAUGUUGCAUGACAUUUGCUUAAAAGGUGCAAUUGCAUCACUACCAGAUGGACCUGCGUUGUAUUAGCUAGUUGGUGAGGUAACGGCUCACCAAGGCGACGAUACAUAGCCGACCUGAGAGGGUGAUCGGCCACACUGGGACUGAGACACGGCCCAGACUCCUACGGGAGGCAGCAGUAGGGAAUCUUCGGCAAUGGACGGAAGUCUGACCGAGCAACGCCGCGUGAGUGAAGAAGGUUUUCGGAUCGUAAAGCUCUGUUGUAAGAGAAGAAACGAGUGUGAGAGUGGAAAG